rnacentral:snRNA from 1 species
GUGCUCUCUUUGGCAGCACAUAUACUAAAAAAUUGGAACCACACAGAGAAGAUUAGGAUGCACAAGGACACGCAAAUUCGUGAAGCGUUCCAUAUUAAA